AUUCACAUGUGACAACCUACCAGCGCUUGUCAGUGCUCUUCAGAUAACUUGCCAUGGGCUAUAAGGCCCUUCGACACCAGGUUCUGCAAACACCUCCCUGACCACUGGCCUUCCAGAAGCAGGUCAACUUUUUCCUGCCUCCGGGCCUUUGCACUUGCUGGUCCCACUCCCCACAACAACAUUCCAUUAGCUCUUCACAUGCCUGGCUCUUUCUCGGCCCUCAGGUCUCAGCUGGAGUGUCAUCUUCUCAGGAAGACCUCCCCUGACUGCCCUAUCUAAAUCAGAUUCCCUUUUUCACCCUCUGCUAUAGGCCUUUUUCCAUUCCAUCUAAAUGCUUAACAACAUAUUCACUCAUUCACUCUUUCAUUUAUAUGAUUGUCUGUCUACCACACCAACAUGUAAGCUCCGUGAGAAUAUGAACCCUGUUCCUCUUGCCCACUGCCGCCCCUGCUGCAUCCCACGUGGGGCCCCGCACCUGUAGGCACACAGAGAAUAUUUGUUGAGUAAUAAAUAACACUGUUGCCCUUGCCCAGUCUCCAGGGGUAUUUGGAAUCCAGCUCUCCUUGGAAACAGCAAGACGGACAUAACAGCCGCUCAAUGGCCUCCUGAGCCUCAUCAGAGGAGGAAUGCGUCACAGUCCACCCUUUCUGUGCCCUGGAGCCUGACCUCUGCAGGACAGUGUCACACAGCACUUUUACUGUCUGGCUUCUGGAGGAUUUCAGCCAAUGGGAAGAUGCAGCAGGAGAUCGGCCUGUUCCCUUCCGGGACACGGACAAAUGCCAGGUCCUGCUAUCUGCCACGCCGUCCUGUCGGGCCUCAUGGAGCUGACACAUGGAGGAAGGCAGCCAACAGACAAACAGAACGGAUCCUAGGUCAAAGCAGUGAGAGCCAUGAAUGGGGGAGCACACGGAUGAAAGAAUGGAUGAAUGUCAUCACUUGGGUGUCACAACUAGACUUUAGAGAUGGUCUGGUCUAAGCCCCCUACUCUACAAAUGAAAGAAGGGGGACCCUGAGAGGGAUGCUCAAGGUCUCACAGUGAUGGAGAAGCAAGCUCAUCGAAGUUCUGCGACUUGCCUAGUACAGCGGGAGGAUUCAACUCAGACUUGUCUAACAGGAAAGCCUGGGUUCUUGCCCCAUAAGCCCCACAGACUCCUGCCAGGGGGCUUCCGGGAAUCGGGAAUCGGCCAGCCCACCAGCCCACUCUCCCAACUGGUGCAAGCAGGAAGACUCUCCAAAGCAUCCUCACGAUUAUCCUUUCGCUGGAUCCUCCUUCUGGGACGGAGGCAGGGGCGGGGCGAUGCACAAGACAGGAGUUAACAAACAAAAGAAAAAAGAAGUCCACCAGUUUAGAGGAGACCAAAGGCACAGAGCCAGGAUGCGAGCACUGUGUAGCGUUUCUAUCUUGCCAGGCUUCCUCACUGCCCCCAGAGGUCCACCUUUGAGCAGGAGAGCCCUGUUCCAUCCCUGUCCACGAGGGGGAAACUGAGGCAUGGGUGUGGCAGGACCUGGAAUAGAAACGUGGCUGUCACCUUCAAGACACUCCUAAGGAACGGUGUUCUUCAUUCCUGGAUUCGCUGGCACGGCCGCGUGUGUUAGGAGCUGGCAUGGAGAGAAAAUGACUUCUGGGAGGGGACCCAGGGCCUUCAACAAUCUGGAAGAGAGGCUGGUUUUCAUUCUUAUUUUCAAAUAGCAAAUAACUGGCCUAAAGACACAGAGCUAGCAACUGAGAGAAUGGGAAUUAUUAGCCAGGCCCGGGUUACUCCAAAGCCUUCUCACCAGUUUCGGGGCUGGUGGCUACCCCAACUUCGGCACCUAUCCACAAGCCCUGCACACACGUCCUCCCCCGCAGGCCCUGUCCCUCCCUGCCCAGGUCUCCCCGAGGGAAAUCCUUCACUCCCUUCCGGGCCUGCCCCUCGGCUGUGCUCUCACGUAGUAAAUGUUCCUGGACACCACUGUGUCCCAGGCGCUGUUCUAGGUACUAGGGACGUGGCAGGGUCACACAAGACAGAAAAAAAUCUUUGCUGUCAUGAACUUUAUGGAGGAAGGGGCGGGGACAGACAUAAAAGAAGUAAACAAAUAAAAAAGAUAAGCCCAGAAAGCGA